CCGUGACACUUAGAAAGUUGCGUCGAGUUCUUACUGAGUGCAGCGGGGGCGAAAACUUUUCAUUGCUUGCAACAGCGAUAGGGGAACCACGAGUGCCAGGAUACAAUCCUGGCUGUCGUAAUGUCUAAAAAACACAAUAUAGCAAGGGCCGGGCAAGACCGGUGCCAGCCGCCGCGGUAACACCGGCGGCUCGAGUGGUAACCGCUAUUAUUGGGUCUAAAGGGUCUGUAGCCGGCUGGAUAAGUCUCUUGGGAAAUCCGGCGGCUCAACUGUCGGGCGUUCAGGGGAUACUGUUAGGCUCGAGACCGGGAGAGGUGAGAGGUACUUCAUGGGUAGGGGUGAAAUCUUGUAAUCCUUGAAGGACCACCAGUGGCGAAGGCGUCUCACCAGAACGGAUCUGACGGCAAGGGACGAAAGCUAGGGGCACGAACCGGAUUAGAUACCCGGGGUAGUCUUGGUCUUACAUGGGUACGGCUGGCUUGGGCAGGCUAGGACUGGCAUGGGAUCGCUAGCACUGACUUCACAUCACUGCACA
rnacentral:rRNA from 1 species